rnacentral:rRNA from 1 species
GAUGAACGCUGGCGGCGUGCUUAACACAUGCAAGUCGAGCGAGAAGUUUUGAAAAGAUUCUUCGGAUGAAAUUUAAAAUGGAAAGCGGCGGACGGGUGAGUAACGCGUAGGCAACCUGCCCCAUACAAAGGGAUAGCAUUUGGAAACGAAUAUUAAUACCUUAUGAAACUUAACUAGUGCAUGCUAGGUAGGUCAAAGAUUUAUCGGUAUGGGAUGGGCCUGCGUCUGAUUAGCUAGUUGGUGAGGUAAUGGCUCACCAAGGCGACGAUCAGUAGCCGACCUGAGAGGGUGAACGGCCACAUUGGAACUGAGACACGGUCCAAACUCCUACGGGAGGCAGCAGUGGGGAAUAUUGCACAAUGGGGGAAACCCUGAUGCAGCGACGCCGCGUGAACGAUGAAGGCCUUUGGGUCGUAAAGUUCUGUUCUAGGUGAUGAAAACUGACAGUAACCUAGGAGAAAGCCCCGGCUAACUCCGUG